AUACAUGCAAGUCGAACGGCAAGUUGAAUAGCAAUAUUUGACCUAGAGUGACGUACGGGUGCGUAACACGUAUGCAACCUACCCAAAACUGGAGGAUAGCUCGGGGAAACUCGAAUUAACCCUCCAUAAGAUCAUAGAGUAGCAUUACUUAGUGAUUAAAACUCCGGUGGUUUUGGAUGGGCAUGCGUCUGAUUAGUUAGUUGGCGGGGUAACGGCCCACCAAGACGAUGAUCAGUAGGGGAACUGAGAGGUUGAUCCCCCACACUGGCACUGAGAUACGGGCCAGACUCCUACGGGAGGCAGCAGUAGGGAAUAUUGGUCAAUGGGUGCAAGCCUGAACCAGCCAUGCCGCGUGCAGGAAGAAGGCGUUAUGCGUUGUAAACUGCUUUUGCCAGGGGAUAAAAUUUCCUUGCGAGGAACAUUGAAGGUACCUGGUGAAUAAGCCACGGCUAACUACGUGCCAGCAGCCGCGGUAAUACGUAGGUGGCAAGCGUUGUCCGGAUUUAUUGGGUUUAAAGGGUGCGUAGGCGGCCCUGUAAGUCAGUGGUGAAAUACUCUAGCUUAACUAGAGGGGUGCCAUUGAUACUGCAGGGCUUGAGUGGAGUCGAAGUAGGCGGAAUUGACGGUGUAGCGGUGAAAUGCUUAGAUAUCGUCAAGAACACCGAUAGUGAAGACAGUUUACUAGGCUUCUACUGACGCUGAGGCACGAAAGUGUGGGGAUCAAACAGGAUUAGAUACCCUGGUAGUCCACACUGUAAACGUUGAUUACUCGCUGUUGGCGAUACACAGCCAGCGGCCAAGCGCAAGCGAUAAGUAAUCCACCUGGGGAGUACGCCGGCAACGGUGAAACUCAAAAAAAUUGACGG
rnacentral:rRNA from 1 species